GAGUGAGAAGAGCGGGAGGAGUGAGAAGAGCGGGAGGAGUGAGAAGAGCGGGAGGAGUGAGAAGAGCGGGAGGAGUGAGAAGAGCGGGAGGAGUGAGAAGAGCGGGAGGAGUGUGAAGCGUUGAAGGAGGCAGCCAGAUCUUACCUGACCAAAGCCAAGAAGCUAUACGUGAAGUUGCGCUGUGACGACGGACCCAUACUGGAGCACAUGGAGCAGCUCCUGGUGGAACUGGGGGAUGAGACAGAGGGGGAGGAGGAGACAGACCCUGCACUGGAUGAAGACUUUGAGCUCUACAGUGACGAUGAGGAAGAGGAUACCAUGGAACAUUGACCUCACCCCUCUCUACCAGUGAUGUAGUGGUAAAACAGUAUGUUGGUAACGCUGAGAGACUUUCGCUGUGAAUAAAGUAAUGCUCUCCAUGUUUCCAAUGUCUUUUUCUCAGCGACAGGUGCGUAAAUAAAAAAAAGUGGGUAAACAGCGUUUAGACUGCAUACCACUCUCUACUUUUAUAGUACACUAUUAACUCAGACAUUAAAUAAAGGUAAAGUUUAUAGAGAUGUAGUUUACUAAGACCUCUUACCUAUCACUGUACACCUUACAAACUAGACCAGAUGCAACACUUUGUUGGAAAGCAGCAGAGUUGCGAAUGCAACAGUCGAUGGGCCCUUGAGUAUUCUCUGAAUCUCUCUCUCUCUAGAUGUUGUCUGUAUUGUGUUCUCAGAAGUGCCUUUCUGUUCAACCCCGAGUUUCCCAGAAUCAUAUGACCUCUCUCUCUCUCUGUCAUAUUAGUGCUGAAUUGUUUUCUGUAUUAGAAAAGAGUGAUUGACAUGUCGACUCAAGCUUUGUUUCCAUUGUCUUGGAAUGAACCAGAUAAAAAACAACUUCAAUGCUGUUUAUUUUCUGUA